GUGCUUAACACAUGCAAGUCGAACGGAAAGGCCCCUUCGGGGGUGCUCGAGUGGCGAACGGGUGAGUAACACGUGGGUGAUCUGCCCUGCACUUCGGGAUAAGCCUGGGAAACUGGGUCUAAUACCGGAUAGGACCACAUGUCGCAUGGUGUGUGGUGGAAAGCUUUUGCGGUGUGGGAUGGGCCCGCGGCCUAUCAGCUUGUUGGUGGGGUUAUGGCCUACCAAGGCGACGACGGGUAGCCGGCCUGAGAGGGUGUCCGGCCACACUGGGACUGAGAUACGGCCCAGACUCCUACGGGAGGCAGCAGUGGGGAAUAUUGCACAAUGGGCGGAAGCCUGAUGCAGCGACGCCGCGUGGGGGAUGACGGCCUUCGGGUUGUAAACCUCUUUCAGUCACGACGAAGCGCAAGUGACGGUAGUGACAGAAGAAGCACCGGCCAACUACGUGCCAGCAGCCGCGGUAAUACGUAGGGUGCGAGCGUUGUCCGGAAUUACUGGGCGUAAAGAGCUCGUAGGUGGUUUGUCGCGUUGUUCGUGAAAUC
rnacentral:rRNA from 1 species